rnacentral:rRNA from 1 species
CCUACGGGGGGCUGCAGUGGGGAAUAUUGGACAAUGGGCGAAAGCCUGAUCCAGCCAUGCCGCGUGUGUGAAGAAGGCCUUCGGGUUGUAAAGCACUUUCAGUGGGGAAGAAAGCCUUGGGGCUAAUACCCUCGAGGAAGGACAUCACCCACAGAAGAAGCACCGGCUAACUCCGUGCCAGCAGCCGCGGUAAUACGGAGGGUGCGAGCGUUAAUCGGAAUUACUGGGCGUAAAGCGCGCGUAGGCGGUCUGAUAAGCCGGUUGUGAAAGCCCCGGGCUCAACCUGGGAACGGCAUCCGGAACUGUCAGGCUAGAGUGCAGGAGAGGAAGGUAGAAUUCCCGGUGUAGCGGUGAAAUGCGUAGAGAUCGGGAGGAAUACCAGUGGCGAAGGCGGCCUUCUGGACAGACACUGACGCUGAGGUGCGAAAGCGUGGGUAGCAAACAGGAUUAGAUACCCCUGUAGUC